rnacentral:lncRNA from 1 species
UAGUUUUGAGUAAAAUCAACUUGGUAUUACAAAUUGACAAUUUUGUGUAGAAAAGCAACAAGUGUCUUACAGCUCAAAACCUUUUGCAGAAACGAAUGAUGGUUUAAGGCCUCUUCAAGCUGAAACAGCAUAUUCCAAAUUCUAUUUACAACCUUGGUUACUUGAAACAGUGGAUUCAUUAACAUAUUUGAACCACUCUCAAAACUUGUUCACGUCAAUGAACCAAUUCUCAAAACUUGUAAGAAAUCAACAUUGAAGAAGUGUGCAUAUUUGGUGAGCUCUAAGAAAUCAGCAACCAAGUAGGUUACAAUUAAAAGCUGUAAAUGAUUUAUGGAGGAAUUCUAUGCCAUCCAAAGCUUUAAAAUUGAUCCUUUCUUUUGUGUUUUCAGUGUGUUCUGGUUUCAACAUAGGG